rnacentral:rRNA from 1 species
GAUGAACGCUGGCGGCGUGCCUAAUACAUGCAAGUCGAGCGAACGGACGAGAAGCUUGCUUCUCUGAUGUUAGCGGCGGACGGGUGAGUAACACGUGGAUAACCUACCUAUAAGACUGGGAUAACUUCGGGAAACCGGAGCUAAUACCGGAUAAUAUUUUGAACCGCAUGGUUCAAAAGUGAAAGACGGUCUUGCUGUCACUUAUAGAUGGAUCCGCGCUGCAUUAGCUAGUUGGUAAGGUAACGGCUUACCAAGGCAACGAUGCAUAGCCGACCUGAGAGGGUGAUCGGCCACACUGGAACUGAGACACGGUCCAGACUCCUACGGGAGGCAGCAGUAGGGAAUCUCCCGCAAUGGGCGAAAGCCUGACGGAGCAACGCCGCGUGAGUGAUGAAGGUCUUCGGAUCGUAAAACUCUGUUAUUAGGGAAGAACAUAUGUGUAAGUAACUGUGCACAUCUUGACGGUACCUAAUCAGAAAGCCACGGCUAACUACGUGCCAGCAGCCGCGGUAAUACGUAGGUGGCAAGCGUUAUCCGGAAUUAUUGGGCGUAAAGCGCGCGUAGGCGGUUUUUUAAGUCUGAUGUGAAAGCCCACGGCUCAACCGUGGAGGGUCAUUGGAAACUGGAAAACUUGAGUGCAGAAGAGGAAAGUGGAAUUCCAUGUGUAGCGGUGAAAUGCGCAGAGAUAUGGAGGAACACCAGUGGCGAAGGCGACUUUCUGGUCUGUAACUGACGCUGAUGUGCGAAAGCGUGGGGAUCAAACAGGAUUAGAUACCCUGGUAGUCCACGCCGUAAACGAUGAGUGCUAAGUGUUAGGGGGUUUCCGCCCCUUAGUGCUGCAGCUAACGCAUUAAGCACUCCGCCUGGGGAGUACGACCGCAAGGUUGAAACUCAAAGGAAUUGACGGGGACCCGCACAAGCGGUGGAGCAUGUGGUUUAAUUCGAAGCAACGCGAAGAACCUUACCAAAUCUUGACAUCCUUUGACAACUCUAGAGAUAGAGCCUUCCCCUUCGGGGGACAAAGUGACAGGUGGUGCAUGGUUGUCGUCAGCUCGUGUCGUGAGAUGUUGGGUUAAGUCCCGCAACGAGCGCAACCCUUAAGCUUAGUUGCCAUCAUUAAGUUGGGCACUCUAAGUUGACUGCCGGUGACAAACCGGAGGAAGGUGGGGAUGACGUCAAAUCAUCAUGCCCCUUAUGAUUUGGGCUACACACGUGCUACAAUGGACAAUACAAAGGGCAGCGAAACCGCGAGGUCAAGCAAAUCCCAUAAAGUUGUUCUCAGUUCGGAUUGUAGUCUGCAACUCGACUACAUGAAGCUGGAAUCGCUAGUAAUCGUAGAUCAGCAUGCUACGGUGAAUACGUUCCCGGGUCU